GCAUCUGUAGUGUAGGGGUUAUCAUCCCAGCCUUCCAUUUCUAUGUAAACGAUAGCUGGGGACUCGAGUUCGAGUUUCGACAGAUGCA
rnacentral:tRNA from 1 species